rnacentral:rRNA from 1 species
UAGGGAAUAUUGCUCAAUGGGCGAAAGCCUGAAGCAGCAACGCCGCGUGCGCGAUGUAGGUCUUCGGAUCGUAAAGCGCUUUUCUGCGAGAUGAGAAAGGACAGUAUCGUAGGAAUAAGUCUCGGCUAACUACGUGCCAGCAGCCGCGGUAACGCGUAGGAGGCGAGCGUUAUCCGGAUUCACUGGGCGUAAAGCGCGUGCAGGCGGUUUGGUAAGUUGGGCGUGAAAGCUCCCGGCUCAACUGGGAGAGGUCGUUCAAUACUACCAAACUAGAGAGUAGAAGAGGAAGAUGGAAUUCCCGGUGUAGUGGUGAAAUGCGUAGAUAUCGGGAGGAACACCAGUGGCGAAGGCGAUCUUCUGGUCUAUUUCUGACGCUCAGACGCGACAGCUAGGGUAGUAAACGGGAUUAGAGACCCCGGUAAUCCUAGCCGUAAACGAUGUGAACUUGGCGUUGGUGGCUUAAACACCAUCGGUGCCGAAGCAAACGCGAUAAGUUCACCGCCUGGGGACUACGGCCGCAAGGUUAA